rnacentral:lncRNA from 1 species
AUAAUGGAAAAAUCCAAACAGAAAAAAAAAACAAAAAAAACAAACCCAAAUUGGAUGUCGUAAAGAAAUACAACUCAGCUAAGUUUGCCAGAACAAUUCUGUUCUAUGUAGGAAUGCACCUCCUAACAACAAAAUCUGAAGACCCCACCACAGCCACACGCCCACAGGCACAGGCACAGAGCUGAAUGUGCACUGAAGGAAAACCAGACCAGAACUCGAUGCAGAACCUCACUAACCCCAUGGGAGGCAGACACUCUGACCUGCCAGGCCCUGACCUCUGCCUGGAAGCCUAGCCACUGGUGCCAAGACUCUUGAAGGAGUCUUAGGCUCUUCAAAGAAGUUGGGGCCUCUGUAUGAAGAAGAUUCACCAAGAAAAAAACUUAGACAAGUCUUCACUGAUUUUGUUGCUUUAAGCAUUUUUCGGCACUUGUUCGUUUCUGUUGAAUACUUUCUCCUCAUGAAGAGUUGUAAGUUCGCUCUCUAAGUUUGUACUAACUGGUUUCUUCUCUCCCUUGUCUGCAAGAUCUUCAAUUUUAAGCAUCUGUUCCUCGAAAUGAAAACAGUAUUUUUAAAAAGCC